rnacentral:lncRNA from 1 species
CCAGACGUCAGACCGCCACAGUGCCACGACUCCUCCCAUCCUCCGUGGCAAUGCCGCCGGCCGCCGCACCAGGCCACCAAGGCCGGCCAGCGCGUCUGCGCGUGGGACUUUGUGCCAUUGCGCGAAAACUUCUUAUCGUCCACAAGGAAAACUUCUCAUUGUCCACAAGGAGGUUUAAGAUGAAUCUAUCUUCUAUUUUUUUUCUUAUUUGAAAAAACUUAUAUUCUUAAAUAUUUUA